ensembl:snRNA U6 U6 spliceosomal RNA
GUGCUAACUUUAGCAGCACAAAUACUAAAAUUGGCACAAUAUAGAGAAGAUGAGCAUGGCCCCUUACAAGGAUGAUAGGAAUAUAUUGUGUAUAAACGUCUGGUGGU